GCUAGAUGUACUGACUCGUUCCCAGUCGCUCGCGUUGGAUCAUGGGAAUGGGUUAGGUUUCCGAGCGACUGGGAAAUCCUGUAUUCAAGAUGGCGUCCAUACAUAAUGGCGGACGCUAUAUCCAAGGAGCGAAAAACUUCUCGAAGGCGUUUCAUGGUGCAUAAAGUUGUCUAUCCAGUUAGAAUGUGUGGGAAAUGUGUUCUUUUUUUAAGAAAAUGGAUUACCGCAACAUUUUCGUGUGGCUCAUAAGAAAAAUAUCACGCUGCAAGAUAUUAAUUUAAAAAUUCAACAUUGACAUUGAAACGCAUGUAUUGUAUGGCGAAGAAACGUUGUGAUAUAUUCAAUAUCAGCAUGAGAAAAAAUCAAAGGCGAGUUAAUAUCAUGAAUAAUUUCUUUUACAGUUGAGAAUAAUGCUUGUUUAGCAAAUUUUUGCGUCCUUAAUAAUAUUUUUGUGCGGGGAUAAAAAUCAUAAAAUAUGCACAUAUUUUAAUAUUUGUUGAUUUACAACUAUUAGGUAUUGAGUGGAUGUUGGUUCAAAGUUUCCAGGGAAGAUGUUAAUGUAUUUGCUGAAGAUGCAAGGAAAGCUUCCAAAAUUUACGGAGUAAUAAAUUCUUGGAAAUGCAGACCAAAAUAAUCUAUGCAAAAUAUCAGUUGGUAUACCAAACAAACAAUGGAUGCAACACAUGGAAGGGAACAUUAUUGUGGUUGAAUGCUCUUUUACAAAGAUGAACUUAAUUCGAGACAUAAAUAUGAACCUAGAAUAGCUCAAAUUUGUUACAGCUUGCCCCCCCCCCCCCUGAAUAUAACCCCCACUCCUGAAUAUAACCCCCACUCAUUGUCUUUAUUUGUUAUUAAUACAUGUUUAUUUUCCUGUUUAUGACUGACUUGUUUAUUAUAUACUAACACAAGACUGAAAAGAGCACCCAUGUACUGUAUAAGCCCAUCAAAAAUUGCUUAAAAAAGAAUAUAAGCCAAGGGCUUAUAGUCAGAGGUUGUUCUUGGUAUUCUUGACUUGCAACCAACCCUUGAGAGUUAGAAGACAAUUAACAGCUGCCAUUUUGGUGCCAAAUUCAAUGAAAGAUAACGAGAUCCUUUUGAAAAAAUGGCACCAACAUGAUUCAGCCCACAUAGCUACAAGUCAAGAAUAGCACUCUCCUUCUUUUACAGUACAUUUCUCUGGCUAGCAGUGGCUUAUAUAACUUUAGCCAUAGCUUUGUUAUUAGCCUGCCUCACACACAUCCUUAUGGCUCUGAGCCAUUUAAGGAUGUCUGCGAGGCAGGCUACUUUGUUAUCAGUGUGAUAGUCUAUGUUCAACCAUAAUGUUAAUAAGAGGAAUAUAGACUUUUGUGUGGAUUUGUAUGACAAACAAAAACAUAGCCAUUAGACACAGGGAAGGAUUUACUGGGGGAGUGGGGGUGCAUCCCCCUACCCUGGCCAGAGGGUGGGGGGGCAUGCUAUUUUUCAUGAUAAAGGGAAAAAAUAUUAGAGACAAAAUGAGAUACAGUAAUUUGAGCAAUAACAUGAUGAUAAGCGAACUGUGCACAACAAUUCAAAUACAGUAGUGAAGCAAGACUUUGCAGUAGUGAAGCAAGUUGAUGGGCUGGCGGCACACAUGACAGACACAACUCAGCACCAGAGCUGGUAGAGCACCCCCCCCCCCCUACUAAAUCAUGCUGGAUCCAUCCUUGAUUAGACAUAGUUUAAAACCUCCUUGCUUCAAGAGGAUAAACCUUGAAAAAAUGUUUUGUUAUGGGGAGGGGGGGGAGGUUACUAAAAGAGGAUGUGUUAAUUAAAGAGGGGCGUGAUAAGAAAACCAUCGUAGAAAUUACAGAACAAGUGGUUUUUAAUUAAUUAAACUACAAGUCCAAAUGUCAAAUUUUGCUCUCUGAAAGAGGUUAUUAACAGUCUCUAAUAGGGGGAGUAUUUAUAAAAUAGGAGAUAUAAUACAGACCCUUUCCGAACUAUGUUAGACAGAGUAAAUUACUACCACAUAAGUUUAUCAAAUAACUUUUUUUAUUAGUCAAUGCAGUACACUGUUUAAAUACUGGUCAAUGCACAAUUUGUAUCUUGUUUUUUUGUAUCUUUAUUUGUUGCAAUUAAUGCCAAUGAUACAAAGAAAGUAUAACAUUUAACAGCAAGAAUCUGGUGUAGCUCUAUAAUAGAUUGAUUUAUUUAGUUUGCAACAAUAUAUACAGCAUUUUUUUAACCUACCAUUGUAUUAUAUUUUAUUUAUGUGUUAGAAACUGAAUAAAUAUUUAUUAAAUAUAAUUUUAUUUUUCUAUAAACAUGUAGUACUUCCAAAGUGUACCAGUUCAACAAGACACCCAGCCAUUAAUACAGGAAAGCAACAGCCAUCAAGUCACCAAUUACGAUGUAUAUACUCAGCUAGCUUUAAUACCAGAUAUAUCGCCACAGGCAUAUUUAUAUGUGGAUAGGAUAGUUUCCCAUAUUUCAUUGAGGACCAAAACAGAGACUUCCAAGUUUGAAAGCAAAUUUUUCAUGUCAUCUAUAUCUAAAAAAGUGUGUGCAAAAUUACUACUUGAUCAACUACAAUUAUCAUAUACCUAGUCGCUAAUUGUUCAUAUUUUUAAGCAUAGGUUUUUAAGAUACACAUCCUUAUAUAAUCCAUGGCACAUCCGCCAACAUAUGGCUUUCAUCGAGGCUUUCAUAUUAUAAACAAGCUAUCAGCACUCACCGUAAUUUACGUCAGAAAGAGAUAAAUUUUCCAUUUAGACAUCUAAUUCGUCACACUAAUCCAUCCAAGAGUUUUCUAAAGCCUGCAUCGUCCCGCUUUCGUCCAAAAAUUCAUUCAUAUUUGAGAAAAAUGUCAAUUUUGCCCGAUUGCCGAGUUUUCGACUAUUCUGCCAACUUUUCGACACACGAUUCCACAGUCCCUCGCAUUUCCGACGUGUGCUGUCAACGCCUAACCCGCGAACGGGCAUAUUCUCCCGUACUAAAAUAUAACGAGGGACUGUGCAAGAGUCAGCUUUUUGUUUACAU